CCUACGGGUGGCAGCAGUGAGGAAUAUUGGUCAAUGGGCGCGAGCCUGAACCAGCCAAGUAGCGUGAAGGAUGACUGCCCUACGGGUUGUAAACUUCUUUUAUAAAGGAAUAAAGUGAGGCACGUGUGCCUUUUUGUAUGUACUUUAUGAAUAAGGAUCGGCUAACUCCGUGCCAGCAGCCGCGGUAAUACGGAGGAUCCGAGCGUUAUCCGGAUUUAUUUGGUUUAAAGGGAGCGGAGAUGGGUGUGUAAGUAAGUUGUGAAAGUUUGCGGCUCAACCGUAAUAUUGCAAUUGAUACUGGCAGCCUUGAGUACAGUUGAGGUAGGCGGAAUUCGUGGUGUAGCGGUGAAAUGCAUAGAUAUCACGAAGAACCCCGAUUGCGAAGGCAGCCUACUAAACUGCCACUGACAUUGAUGCUCGAAAGUGUGGGUAUCAAACAGGAUUAGAUACCCGAGUAGUC
rnacentral:rRNA from 1 species